rnacentral:rRNA from 1 species
CCUACGGGAGGCAGCAGUGAGGAAUAUUGGUCAAUGGGAGGAAUCCUGAACCAGCCAUGCCGCGUGCAGGACGACGGCCCUACGAGUUGUAAACUGCUUUUGUAUCGGGGUAAAAUGCCUUAUGCGUACGCUCUUGUAAGUACCGUACGAAUAAGGAUCGGCUAACUCCGUGCCAGCAGCCGCGGUAAUACGGAGGAUCCGAGCGUUAUCCGGAUUCAUUGGGUUUAAAGGGUGCGUAGGUUGUUUUUUAAGUUAGCGGUGAAAUUCCGAGGCUCAACCUCGAGGCUGCCGUUAAUACUGUAAGACUAGAGAUCAGAUGCGGCAGGCGGAAUGUGUAGUGUAGCGGUGAAAUGCAUAGAUAUUACACAGAACACCGAUUGCGAAGGCAGCUUGCUAGGCCGGAUCUGACACUGAUGCACGAAAGCGUGGGGAUCGAACAGGAUUAGAUACCCCAGUAGUC